ACCCCUCCAAGUGGGCCAAACUGCCAGGCUGUUGGUAUUAUUCCCCCAAAGAGAGAAAGAACACCUUUUCCUUGGAAGAUUCUGCCCAGUCUGCCAUGUCAAGACAGCUCCAUUAUUUGCAAAGGGACACCAUUAUGCAAAAUCAUGGAAUAUAAAGAACCUAGAGCCAAAAAGGAGUAAGGGGAGGAAGCCGACCCAGCAGUCCGAACUAGAAAAAAAGUUCACACUGUCACCUAUCGUCACCCACUGUUCAAAUUUUUUUUACAUGGGCAACUACGGAGCAUCAGAAAUCAAGUUGAUGAGACCUAAAAAAUGCAGUGGAAACAUCAAGGCCCGGGAUCCAGGCCACAUCUCAUCCCUUAGCCAUAAAUGCCUAGAGUAUGAAUACCACAAUUUUACACUACAAGCCCAAUUUACACAUGGCUGAGCAAUAAGACAAUUACAUGGCCUUCAGAUAGAGAAGACAAUCCACGGGGCCUGGAAGGCCGACAGAGAUGCUCACAGAGGCCACUGAGAAGGCGAGCUGCAGGAACCCCACACUGCUGCCCAUGCCGCUGAGGCCAGGAGUCCAGCAUACAAUCAAAGUUUAUAAAAUUAGUGAAGAAACGAGAAAAUAUGACUCAUGGUCAAGGGAGAAAAUAGUCAACAGGAACAGACCCAGACCCAGAGAUGGCGCAGAUGUUGGAAUUAUCGGAUAUGGACUUCACACAAUUGUGAGAAAUAUAUUAAAGGACACUGCAGAAAAGUUAGACAAGAGUGUACAGUUGGAGAA